rnacentral:tRNA from 1 species
AGUUCUGUGGGUUAGUUGGUUAAAGUACCGGUCUAACCGGUAACGGAGUCGUGGGUUCGAAUCCCACCUGAAUGC